rnacentral:lncRNA from 1 species
CGUCGCUCUACGAAAACGUUCAGGAAGUGCUGUCUAACUUUCUUAAAUUCUUCUCUGAUACCUCGACUCACCACAGUCGCAUACCAAUAAGAUGACCUAGAUAAAAAAACGACAGCUGUAUUGGCCAAUAAAGUAUGAAUCCUCUUUUCAGGUCUGACCUGCCUCAACAUCCAAUCAGAGAUCUACUUCCGGGCCCAGAGGCGGUGCACCUUGAGACUUGGUCCAAUAGAAGUCUCAGUGGUGGGGAGGCUCAACUACAGACGGGUGAGAGCUCCGGGUGCAGCAAGGGCCGGAAAGAUGGCGGUCCUGGCACCUUUAUUUGCUCUCUUGUAUUCGGUGCCGAGGCUUUCACGAUGGCUGGCUCGACCUUACUGCCUGCUGUCUGCUCUGCUGUCUGCCGCCUUCCUACUCGUGAGAAAACUGCCGCCGCUCUGUCACGGUUUGCCCACCCAACGCGAAGACGGUAAUCCGUGUGAUUUUGACUGGGUGAGCGCCCCCUGUCUCAGUAGCGUACGACCUUGACUGUCCAUGCCCUGCCAGGUGCACCUGGGAGCCUCGGGGUUCACCUUUCUGAGAACGCUUGAGUGUUUGAGCCUGUAGCUGGCUUAUAGACCGAGGAGUGUAGAUCCCGGGUCGUCAUCGAGUCUCAGCCUGUGUGUUUAAGAUGGGGAAAUGGGGCCAGCUAGUUAUAGCCCCUGCACAACAGCAGCCCAGUAUUCUCUCACACUUGCAUGUAUGCUUAGCGUUGUACCAUUCAUCUAGUCAACAGCCUUACCCAAACUCUACACAUGUGUAGCUUUUUACAGUGCUGCUUGUUGUGUAAAGCCCUCCGAGGAGCCAGUAGUACAAGGCGAGCAGUAGUAUUUCCGUUUUUUAAAAUUUUAUUUUUGCGGUCCUGGAGAUGGAAUCCAGGGCCUCUUGCAUACCAGAAAGUGCCAUACCACUGAGCGGCAUCCCAGUCCUCCAUUGAUCUCAUCAUGGUUAGGCGACUUCUCAAGGUCACACAACUGCUGAUAUCCUGAGAAACUACUCUGAUGGUCACAGUACUGCACACUUGAUAAGCCAUUUCUAAAUUCGAUAAACUUUUGCAGAGUGAACACUCUGUGUUAAGCACUGUGCACGAUCCCAAGGAUGCAAAAUUGAAAAGAAUUUGGGUUGGGGAUAUAUCUCAGUAGGUAGAAUGCUUGCCUUGCAUGCACAAGGCCCUGGAUUCAAUCCCCAGCACCGCAUGCACACACACAAAAUUGAAAAGGAUUUGAGAUCUAUUGUGAAGAAAUCUAUUCUAAGCCCCUUGCUGUGCUUUCUAGGUAGGAGUGGAGGCACCUCUUUAAAAAAAUGUGAGCCAGGGGCUGGGGAUGUGGCUCAAGCGGUAGCCCGCUCUCCUGGCAUGCGUGCGGCCAGGGUUCGCGCCUCAGCACCACAUACAAACAAAGAUGCUGUGUCCACCGAAAAAUAAAAAAUAAAUAUUAAAAAAACUCUCUCUCUAAAAAAAAAAAAAUGUGAGCCAGGCUCCUGUGGCCCACCCUGUAAUCCCAGCUGCUCAGAAGGCUGAGACAGGAGGAUUGCGAGUUCAAAGCCAGCCUCAGCAAAAGCGAGUCUCAAAGAAACUCAGUGAGACCUUGUCUCGAAAUAAAAUACAAAAUAGGGCUGGGAAUGUGGCUCAGUUGAAGCUGUAUCUCAUGCUGAAGAGCUGUACCUGUAGAAUUUCUGUCUUUUUUUUCCCCCAGCUCCAAAAGUGAAUCUUGACUUUCACCAGAUUUUCUUUCUCCCUCCCUUGUUUAUUCUUCCUGUUUUUCUUGACAGAAUUAUUGGUUAGAAUGUAGCCAUGUGAUUUCAAAAGAUCCUUUUUAAAAUAUGUUUUAUGUACAUUAAAGAUAUUGGGUUUCAAUAAGCUCAAAAGGGUAUAUGGAUAGUAAUAAGGAUUUUAAUAAAUGUAGGAGACCUUUUUUAAAAAAAUAUAUUUUUUAGUUGUAGAUGGACAGAAUACCUGUAUUUAUUCAUUUUUUUUUUUUUUAGAGAGAGAAUUUUUAAUAUUUAUUUUUUAGUUUUCGGCGGACACAACAUCUUUGUUUGUAUGUGGUGCUGAGGAUCGAACCUGGGCCGCACGCAUGUCAGGCGAGUGUGCUACUGCUUGAGCCACAUCCCCAGCCCUAUUUAUUAAUUUUUAUAUGGUGCUGAGGACCCAGUGCUUCACAGGUGCUAGGCAAGUGCUAUAAAACUGAGCUACAAUGCCAACCCCUGUAGGAGACCUUUUAUCAAAAUUUAUUUCUCUGUAUAUUGUCUGAUAUGCAAAAUACUGGAAAUCUUAAUACUCUUUUUUUCUUUUUCUUUCCUCUCCCAGGACUGACUGUAGCUUUUGGAGCCAAAGAACCUGAGGUUUUUUUUUUUUUUUUUAAGAGAGAGAGAGAGAAUUUUAAUAUUUAUUUUUUAGUUCUCGGUGGACAUAACAUCUUUGUUUGUAUGUGGUGCUGAGGAUCAAACCCGGGCCGUACACAUGCCAGGAGAGCGCGCUACCCCCUGAGCCACAUCCCCAGCCCCAUCUUAUUACUCUUGAUAGCCAGUUUUUGUUUUCAUGGAAGAGUCCUAGUUUACUAAUUCAACUUGGUGAUUGGGAAGUUAGGAAAUAAGGUAAACUCCAAAGUUUUAGUUGUUUAACAUAUUUAAAAUAUUUCUAUUUUAUUAAACAAAAGGGGAAAAUAAAAAUCAAGCCUUUAUAUUUAUUUUUUCUGUAUAUACUUACUGUCUUUCAUGGUAAUCAAAAGAUUUGAUAAAGGAAUAAUGAUUUCUUUUUCUUUCUUUUUUUUUUUUUGGUGCUGAAUGUCGAACCCAGGGCCUUGCCCAGGCACUCUACUACUGAACCAUACCCUCAGCCCCAUGUUCAUUUCUUAAUAGAAGAAUUUGAGCUAAUAAGUACAGAGGAAUGACAGAAUUUAAAAGUCAUUAUUAAGGCCUUUAAUGAAAUCAGAGAUCUUAAUGAUCAUUUGUGGAUGCUGAAACCAUCAGAUGAAAGGUUAAUGUGUCUCUUGGAGUGCUGUAGGAGGAAGACUACCUAGCACCACUUAUGGUGUAUAUUUUUGCCAAAAGAUUUAAAUUUCAUUGAAUUCAAAUCUCUAAAGCUCAUUACCACUUUACAAUAAAUAUGGGAAAUAUAAGGUCAUCAUUAAAACAUACUAUGAAUAUCAAGCUGCCAAAUCUAGAAAACUGGGCAAGUCAACAGUACAAAUGACUCAUUAUCUCCAGUUCAUCCUGGGUGUGGUGGCACAUGUCUAAUCCCACCAACUGAAGAGGCUGAGACUGGAGGAUUUCAAGUUUGAGGUCAGCCUGGGCAAACUUAGUGAAACCCUGUCUCAAAAUUAAAAGGGUUAGGGAUGUACCUCAAUGGUAGAGCACCCCUGGGUUCAAUCCCCAGUAUGGAGAAGAAAAAAAUUUUUUUUCAAUGGAUAUAUAGCCUGAGAUUAAAAAAAAAAGGAAGAGCUGGUAUCCACUAAAAAUUAAAGAAAAUGGUGCUGGGGAUAUAGCUCAGUUGGUAGAAUGUUUGCCUUGCAUGUACAGUCCCUGUGUUCAAUCCCCAGCACCUGCCCCCCCCCCAAAAAAAAAUUUAAAGAAGCCCGGCAAGAGUGGUGCAUACCUGUAAUCCCAGCAGUUUGGGAGGCUAAGGUUUGCAACUAAGCAUGGUUUCAGGAAUCCCACUGAGGGUUAUUAGAAUGUUUCCCCUGUGAAUAAAGGGGGACUACACACAAUAACAUUUUUACACACAAUAACAUUUUGAAACAGGAUCAUUUGAAUAAAGACAAUUGGGAAUUAUUGUGUUGGGUAUGUAUGUGAUAUAUGAAAAACAAAACUCAGCUUUUACUACUAUACUCUAGCAAUGCAGAACUUUUUUUGUUUGUUUGUUUAAGUCCUGGGGAUCAAACCCAGGGCCUUAUGUAUGCUGGGAAAGCACUCUACCACUAUAUCUCUAGCCCCACAGGAUAUUUCUUUGAUUUCUGGUUUAGGAAAUAAAUAUUAUUUGGGGAUUUCUUCUUAUUAACAACCAAUCAUUUUUUUCUUUUUAAAAUAUUUUUAGUUGUAAAUAAACAUGAUAUCUUUACUUUUUAAGUGGUGCUAAGACUUGAACCCAGUGCUUCACAUGUGCUAGGCAAGUGCUCUACCACUGAGCCCCAGCCCAUAACCAAUCAUUUCUGUAGCAGAUAUCAGCUGGAUGUCUUCUAAUUCAAUUUUAUUCUGAUACCAUCUACGUGGAUUUAGAGUCAGAUCCCCACAGGCUGAGGGCUUCGUCCUAUAAGACUACCUCUAUUUCAGAUGCCAUUAAGAAGCAAUAGGGGACUGGGUUCCUAGUGCAGUGGUAGAGUGCUUGCCUAUUGUAUGUGAGGCACUGGAUUUGAUUCUCAGCAUCACAUAUAAAUAAAUAAAAUAAAGAUCCAUUGACAACUAAAAAAUAUUAAAAACAAAACAACCACAAGCAAUAGGUUGUCACCUAUACUUUUGACUAAUAGCUAUAAAAGGGGUUCCCAGUAUGCACUUUUUAGAUUUAACUAAUUUGCUAGAGCUCACAGGGAAACAUUUUACUUAUAUUUACUGGCAUAUUAAUAAAGGAUACAGAGGUGUAGAUGUAGAGAUGCAUAGGGUGUGGUUUUUUGAGAAGGCGUAAGCAGCUUCCUUAAGGAACCUCAUGUGUUUAGCCCUCUAGAAGCUCCCCCAUUUUUCCAGUUUUUAUGGAAGCCUUACAAUGUAGGUAAUGAUUGGUUAAAUAUUGGGCAUUGGUGAUCAACUUCAGCCCCUUUCUGGAGGUUAGAGGGUAAGACUGAAAGUUCCAACAUUAAUCAUGGCUUGGUCUUUCUUGUGACCAGCCUCUGUUCUCAUUAGCACAUAAGUUAUUUAGCCUUCCAUCACUAUGAGAUAAUCAUAAAGAAGUAAUCAGUUAUGAAUUAUGAAUACCUGAGAUAAUUAACUUAUAAAGAGAAAAGGUUGAUUUUGUUUCAUUUAUUUUGUGGUUUCAUCUGUGGUUAGUCUGAUUGCUGGUAGGCUUGUGGCCAGGCAGCACAUCAUGGCAGGAGCAUAUGGUGGAGCAAAACUGCUCACCUCGUGAUCAGGAAGCAGAGAGAGCAAGGGGACCCAGGGUCCCACAGUCCCCUUCAGGUGUACACCCCCAGUGGCCUAAAAGUCUCUCAGUAGGAUUACCUCCUUGUAGCAUCACCUUGGGAACCAAACCAUUAACACAUAGACCUUUGGGGGAUAUUAAAGAUCAAAAACUAUAGGGUUGUGCAUGCCUAUAGUCCCAGCUAUUUGGGAGGAUAAAGUAGGAGGAUCUUGAGCCCUGGAGUUUGAGACCAGCCUGGUAACAGUGAGACCUUGUCUCAAAAUAAAUUUUUUAAAAAAGAUGCAAACUACAGCUGGGUGUGGAAAGGUAUUCCUUUAAGUCUAGUGACUCGGGAGGCUGAGAUAGGAGGAUUAGAACUUUGAGGCCAGCCUCAGCAGCUUAGCGAGACUAUGUCUCAAAAAAAAUAAAAAAGGCCUGGAGAUGUAGUUCGAUGGUAAAGUGCCCCUGAGUUCAAGUCCUAGUACCAAAAAAAGAAUCCAACUAUUGAAACACACAAAAGACACUUGUUCCUCCAGAGAUUUCAAGCAUUUUAGGAACUAUAUGUCAAGAAACAAGAUGAAGACCAAAUGUAUAUAUUUCAUAUUAUUAUAGUAUAGUUAUGGUACUGUGUUGUGGUUAAAAAUUAGAAAAAAGUGAGGCUGGGAAUGUAGCUUAGUGAUGAGUCUCACCUAGCAUGUGAGAGACCCUGAGUUUGAUCCCCAGCACUGCAAAAACAAAAGUGUCCUUAUGUGUAAGAGAUACACACUAAAGUUUCACACAUGAAAUGAGGUAAUUGGAAUUUGCUUCAAGUUUUUUCCAUCAUAAAAAGUGGGUAGCAUAGACAUAUGAAAUACCACAUUUUCAAAAUGUUGGUUACUGUUUUAGCUGGGUAGUAGGGGUUAAUUAAAGUAUCCUGUCAGGCUGCGGGUAUAGCUCAGGAAAGAACAUGAGCUUGGCAUCACAGGUCCUGAACUUUAAUCCUCAGCACUCCUCUCCCCCACAAAAAAAAAUCCUCCCUACUUUUGUGUAUGUUUGAAAUUUUACUUAAAUGAAAUUUUUGUUUUGUUUUGGGAGAGCCAUGAAAAGAUUUAAAAACUGUGAACGAGAUACAAAGAGGCCUCUGCUUCAUAUAGUCAUUCUGGAACCCAUUCUCCUUCCAUCUUCCUAUAGUCUUUUUUCUCUUUCUUUCUUUCUUUUUUUUUUUUUUUUUUUUUUGGUACUGGGGACUGAACUCAGGGGCACUCAACCACUGAGCCACAUCCCUAGUCCUAUUUUGUAUUUUAUUUAGAGACAUGGUCUCACUGAGUUGCUUAGCACCUUGCCAUUGCUGAAGCUGGCUUUGAACUUGCGAUCUUCCUGACUCAGCCUCCCGAGCCACUGGGAUUACAGGUGUGCACCACCAUGCCCGACCUAUAGCUGUCUCUUAUCUUAGUACCAUGGAACUAGUGGAUGAAGAAAGGAAACUGGAAUGCAAGGGCACACUCUUUUUUAACUGUCUUGAGUACAGAAGUGGCAAAUCAUUUCCACUCAGUAAUACUAAUCACACAGCACUACCAAGAUGCAAGGUGAUUGGGAGAGAGUCUAGUUCUGAUGCCCAGGGGAAAAAGGAAAUAAAGUUUGGAGUACUCAUUACCAGUCCAUCUUUUAGAAUGCUCCUUUUUUGGUUCUGUAUUUGUAUUUGGUCUUCUGAUUGACCAUAGUUCUUCUCUCUUUUUGUUUUUUUUUUUGGUACUGGGAAGUGAAUCCAGGGGCACCUAACCACUGAGGCCACAUCCCCAGCUCAUUUUUAUUUUUUGAGACAGGGUCUCGCUAAGUUGCUGAGGCUGGUUUUGAACUUGCCAUCCUCCUGCUUCAACAUCCUGAGCCACUGGAUUAUAGGCAUGCGCCACUGUGCCUGGCCUCUUUCAUUUAUUUAUUUGAGAGAGAGAGGGAGAGAGAGAAAGUGUGUGUGGUGUGUGUGUGUGUGUGUAUGUGUGAGUGUUGCUAGGAAUUUAACCCAGGACUUUGCAUGUGCUAAGCCUGUGAUCUUCCCACUGAGCUACCCUCUCAAUCCUUAAAUCCUAAUUCAGACCCACCCAAUUUCAUUCAUGAAAACCCUAAUAAUUUGCUUCAGGUAUAAUAUUUACUACAGUCUGUCAUAAUCCUGCAUUCCCAUUUUACAUGUCCAUAUCUAAAUUCAAUUAGUUACUUUUCUUUUUGGUACCGGGGAUUGACCCAGGUGUGCUUAACCACUGAGCCAUAUCUCCAGCCUUUUUUAUUUUUUAUUUUGAGAAAGUGUCUCUCUAAGUUGCUUAGGGCCUCGCUAAAUUUUUGAGGCUGGCUUGUAACUUUGAAUCCUCCUGUCUUAGACUCCCAAGUGACUGACCAUACCCAGCAAUUAAUUACUUUUUGUUGGAGAUUGAAGCUGAAAACCUAGGUUCCUGACCCCCAGCUGUAAAUUUCAGUUGAUUUUUUUUUUUUUCUGAAAUGACCAGUUGGCUCUGUUGUUAGUAUAAGAAAAGGAUAUGGAAGGCCUUAGACCAUCUAAUCUACAGUCUUUUCCCCCCACCAUGCUUUUUCUUUUAUCCUCAUUCAUGUUGUGAGAGGGCCAUAUUUAGUGAAUUAGUCCUGCAUUCCCUCCUAUACUCUUUGAAAUUAUCUUGUUUGUGUCUUUGUUAUGUUUCUUCUCUGUCUCACAUGGGUGCUAAAAUUCUAGAAGAAAGAACUGAAGCCAGGCGUGGUGGCACAAAUCCCAGCAGCUCAGGAGGCUGAGACAGGAGGAUUGCAAAUUCAGAGUUAGCAACGGCAAGGUGCUAAGCAAUUUAGUGAGACCCUUUCUCUAAAUAAAAAUUAGUGAAUAGGGCUGUGGAUGUGGCUUAGUGAUUGAGUGCUCCUGAGUUCAAUCCUAGUACCAAAAAAAUAAAGAACUGUAAGCCAAGGGUAUUGAAAAGGGCUCUGCAGCUCCCCUUUAGUUCUCCAGUUUCAUCAAAGGUACACGGAUUAUCACUGCAGGUGUUGAGUGGAGAGCAACAAUUGAACUUGAGCAAAGCCAAACAAGUGGAACAGAUAUUUUACUAAUAGAAUAUUAUCAAGAAAGCUGAGAUGAAAGGUGGAGAGGUAGUGGGGGAAGUGUUGGGGAGUAAUAUUGGUCAAAAAUGUGGAAGAAAAAAACAAAAAGAAAGCUUUCCUAGAAAACUAUUUUUUUUUGACCACCGUUAUACUGAGUUGAUUGUAAUAAUAUCUUGGGGAUAUAUCACACUUUAUACAACCCUUUCAUAUCCAUUAUCUUAUUUAAUUCUCACAUUAGCACUUUGAAAUAGAUAAUGGUCAAUCAGGAAAGCCAAAGUUUAGGGAUUAAGUGAUUUGCUGAAAUUCACCAGCCAGUUUGUGGCAGGAGUAGAACUUAAACAUAGCUCUUCUGACUGUUGCUUUCCCCACUACUACUUAGUGAACUGCAGUUAUAUCUUUGUUAUCAUUCUCAGUCUGGAUCUCUGUUGGUUUUUCUAACACAUUUGGUCCUCCUUCAUCAAUUCUUUUUACUGAAUUCCUUGUCAUUUUGCUUCUGUUCCAGAGAGAAGUGGAGAUCCUGAUGUUUCUCAGUGCUAUUGUGAUGAUGAAGAACCGCAGAUCUAGUAAGUUCAGCCUGCUUCUAAGUCUCAGGAUCAGGCCUGAUAUCCCUGGAGUUGCUUUUUUCAUGUUAUGAGAGGGGCACUAUUUAGGGCAUUUGAUCUUCUUCCCUCUUCCAUUUCAAAAGUACCCCAAGAAGAUGGAAAAAGAAUGGGAUAUAGGAGUAUACAGCCCAGCCUGACUUGUGACAUCUCUUGUUUCAGUCACCGUGGAGCAACAUGUAGGCAACAUCUUCAUGUUUAGUAAAGUGGCCAACACAAUUCUUUUUUUUCGCCUGGAUAUUCGCAUGGGCCUGCUUUAUAUCACACUCUGCAUAGGUGAGGCAAUUACCUUUUUAAAAUUCUUCAUAAAACUAUGUUAAUAAAGACUUGAUUUAGGGGCUGGGGUUGUAGCUCAGUGGCAGAGCUCUUGCGUAGCAUGUGUGAGGCACUGGGUUCAAUCCUCAGCACCACAUAUAAGUAAAUAAAAAAUAAAGUUAAAUCAACAACUAAAAAGUAUUUAAUAACAACAAAAAAGACUUGAUUUAGCUGGGUGUGGUGGUGCACACCUGUAAUCCCAGUGGCUCAGUAGGCUGAGGCAGGAGGAUCACAGGUUUGAAGCCAGUCUCAGCAAUUUAACGAGACUGUGAGCAACCUAGUGAGACCCUGUCUCAAAAAUUUUUUUAAAAAAGGGUUAGGGAUGUUGCUCAGUGGUUAAGUGUCCCUAUGUUUAAUCCCUGCCACCAAAAACAUAAAGACUUGAUUUGAGGAACCAAAUUUCAUUCCCAAACAGGUAGUUAUGUGUGUAGCUUAGAUGGUAAGAAAAUAAUACUGGGCACAGUGGCACACACUGUAAUCCCAGCAGCAUGAGAAUCUGAGGCAGGGGAUUUGCUUGUUGAAAGCCAGCCUUAGCAACUUAACGAGGUGCUAAGCAACUCAGUGAGACCCUGUCUCUAAAUAAAAUACGAAAAAGGACUGGGGAUGUGGCUUAGUAGUUAAGUGGCCCUGGGUUCAAUCCCCAGUACCAAAAAAAGGAAAAAAAACAAAAACUGCAGAGACUGUACUUUAGAGGAAGGAAAUGUAUUUUUGGUCUACAUAUAUCUACAAGUAUGUAUUCUUUGGUGGCUGAAAUCCUUGAGUUGGUUGGAGAUAAGUCCUGUGUGCAAAGCCUUGUAUGUUUUUUGCCUGAUAUCUUUUUUCCUGUGUUCAGUGUUCCUGAUGACCUGCAAACCUCCUCUGUAUAUGGGCCCUGAGUAUAUCAAGUACUUCAGUGAUAAAACUAUUGAUGUGAGUAUUCUUCCUCCUCUGAUUCUUGGGUACUUGGUAGAUUAUUUUGUAAUUAUGUUCUCAGUUCACUAGGAGGAAUAACAGUGCUUCAAAAUGAAAGUCAGGAGCAUUUGUGAUUCAUUAUGAGAGCCAGGAAGAGGGAAGUCAGGAUGAGGAAUUAGGCACUAAGGUCUGACUCCUCCCAGAUUCUUACAUGAUCCAGUUCACUAUUUCUUCCCUUUGUGUGGCAGGAGGAACUGGAGCGGGACAAGAGGGUCACUUGGAUUGUGGAGUUCUUUGCCAAUUGGUCUAAUGACUGCCAAUCGUUUGCUCCUAUCUAUGCUGACCUCUCCCUCAAGUAAGUUAGUGCAAAGGGAGGGAUAAUGGAAAUUGAGAUGCAGUACCUUCCUUCUUAUUUUUGGCCUUGACUUUUACGCUUUCCAGCCAAAGUCAUUACCCCCUUCUCUCCUCAAAUAUCUUUAUUUUCACUUUUUAAAAUGUUUUCAAUAUAUUAAAUAAUAUGUUCUUCUCAGGUACAACUGUACAGGGCUAAAUUUUGGGAAGGUGGAUGUUGGACGCUACACUGAUGUUAGUACCAGGUAUGUAAAGAUUAGAGCUAAGGAUCUUAGCAAGGAAUUACUUUGAGCACUAUAUAGAGAUACAUUCACAGAGUCUUUUCUGGGCCCUGUAGGUACAAAGUGAGUACAUCACCCCUCACCAAGCAGCUCCCUACCCUGAUCCUGUUCCAAGGUGGCAAGGAGGUAAUGCGGCGGCCACAGAUUGACAAGAAAGGACGAGCUGUCUCUUGGACCUUCUCUGAGGUAUUUGAAGGAAUAGGCAAGUAGUUUGCAAACGGGUACAGAUCAGUGGAUGAGUUCUGAAACCCAACCUGGAUUUGAUUUCCAGUGUCUACCACUUGUCCACUAGUUUUUGAGGAUAUAGACUAGAUACUAGGCCUCAUUUUAGUUCACUCACCAAAUUUACAUUGUAUGCCAGACUGCUAGUACAGGGAACAAUGAUGAGUGAAGACUUAGUCUCUAAGGCGCCUAUAGUAUGUAGGCAUUUAGGCUUCUCAUCACAAAUUGGAUAUCCAUCUGGCUCACAAGAUUAUUUUACAGACUACAUGUAGAUAGUAUCAUUCAUUCUUGGCACAGUGAUUGACACAUAAUGAAUACUUAAGUAUUAAUUGACUUUUCUGGGUACUUAAAAAAAAAAGAGGAAAGUUAAAUUAGGGUAGAUUUGUAUCCUUUCCUUUCUCCCUUCUUUCCUACUCUGUGUCUAAAUACUCCUUACUUUUAGGUUCUGAACUUUACCUUCCAAACCAAAUCCUGAUGUGUGCAUCUCUUUUGUGCAGGAGAAUGUAAUUCGUGAAUUUAACUUGAAUGAACUGUAUCAACGGGCUAAGAAGAUAUCAAAGACUGGAGACAGUAUCCCGGAGGAGCAGAGUGUGGCCCCAGUCCCCACCACAGUGCCAGAUGGGGAAAGCAAGAAGGAUAAAUAAGAUUCCUGCCUAGUUUUUGCUCCCUCUUCUGUCAAUUCCAGGCACCUUUGAGGCCCUACUCCAGUGUAACCAUAAGCUCUGCCUGAGGCUGCUGCCUCUUGUUUUCCCUGUUUGGCUGUUGCAGGGUAGGCAGGAUGCUGCUUCUGAUUUUAAAGAAGCAGGCAUAGAAUUGUCAGGUACCCUAGAGGAAGGCCUGCCUUGCUGUGGCCAACUGUUUACUUAAGGGAGAGAUCUCAUAUGAUGGGGGAGGAAAUGGUUUCCCUCCAAGGUUGGGUCAGUGUGUAAACUGCUGUUCUUCCUUAGACAUCAGCAGUCUGUGGUUUCCUUAUUCCUCUUAGUGGCUCUGCACAGCCUAGACUAGAUCAAACCUGUUACUUGCCUGGGUAUAGAACACUAAGAAUUUUUCCUCAAGGACCCUUGCUUUCCUUAGGCCCUUCUGGCUUGGUCUAUGGCAUUCAUUAAAAAAUACAAGCCUAAAUUUGUUACUGGUCCCAAGGAGAAACCUUUUACCACAGAGUUUUCAUCAUUGAAAAUAGUAUUGAAUGAUCCUCCUAUUUUGUAGGGAUCCAGAGGAAAAGGAAUAAAAGCUUGAGACUUUCCUUUGUGUGUUGGGACCUGGAGGAGAAAGCCUGGACUGUCCUUUUCUCCUACCUAGUCCCCACACCUAACCAACAGUUUCCAUAAUAAAAGAGACUGGGAUUUCUUUUGAUUAAUCUUUUGUGUAUUUCUCUUGUGUUAGAAAAGCUAGGCAGGGCUAGGACAGUGGAUCAGUGGGAGUUUACCUAGCAUGCUUGAGGCCCUGAGUGGGAUCCCCAGCACCACCAAAAACCAGACAGUCUUCAAAGAAAAGCUAAGUAACUGCAAAGGAAUAGCCCAUCUUUUAAUUUUUUUUUUUUUUUUUUUAAAUUAUCAGUACUGGGGAUUGAACCCCUGGGUCCAUUACCAUUCAGCUAUAUCCCCAGUCCUAUAUUUUUAUUUUGAGACAGGGUCUGAGUUGCCCAGAUUGGCCUUGAAUUUUCGAUCCUGAUCCUCCUCCUUCCACUUCCCAAGUAAUGGAUUACAGGUGAAUGCCACCAUGCUGGACAAGACCACGUAAUAUGAAAGGGCAUAUUUUGUUUCACCAAAUGCUGGGCAUCAAUUCCCAGGAUUGAUGAUGAUUGGGGAAGACCGAUUUCUGUAAUCCAAAGUGCUAACCAGAGGGGAUGCUUUGUGAACUUAAUUUUGGAUUGGUCCGUGCCUCCCAGGGAGGAAUUUGGGGAGCAUCAUAAAGCAUAGCAUUUAGUGCAGCGCAUAGGUACCUAACCUCUUGCUUCCAGACUUGAGUCCCCACCUCCUGGCAUGCCGGCCUCACCUCGUCCUUUCCACCCAUAGUCUUAAUGGUAGGGCCUGGUUCUCGCAGUACCUCCCCCUUCUGGUAGGCGGAGUGGCUGGGCUCGAAGGUCCCGCCUCCCCGCCACAUGCGCGCUGCGGGCCCCGUUUUCCACUCUCGCGGGGAGUUUUUGUUUCGUGAGCGGAAGUUCUGGGUUAAACCUGGUGAUUCGAAGUCUGACUGCCCUCCUGCCUGGUGCUAUCUCAGUCGUAGCAUCUUCACUGUAUUCUCCCUUCCGCCCCAGCAUCCCCAGUCGGCUCGGCGCGCGGCCGGAUUCCAGGCGUCAUGGCUCCUCGCUGGAGGAAGCGGAAGGCCGAGGCCGCUGCGGUCUCCACGUCGGAGAAGCGGGAGAAACUGGAGAACGGCAAGGAACAAGUAGAGGAGGCGGUCGUCAUUGAGCAUUGGUGAGCGCCCUGGGAGGCGCGGGCGGCGGCGGGAAGAAUGGCUGGCGUUGCAGCGGGGCCGCAGUCUGAUCUCCCCGUCUCUCCCUAGCACUAGCUGACGCGUCUACGGGCGCAACGCCGCGGCCCUGAGCCAGGCGCUGCGCCUGGAGGCUCCGGAGCUUCCCGUGAAAGUAAAUCCUUCCAAGCCCCGGAGGGGCAGCUUCGAGGUGACCCUGCUGCGCCAGGACGGCAGCAGUGAGUGCGGGCCGGAGCCUGGGGGGAGAGGGGCCUGGGUCUAAAGCUAAGAAGCACUAGUUUUGGAAACCGCGGCCAGCUGUUGACUUUAGAGAUGCUCUUGGAUUCCAAAGUAAUUUCGAUUUAUUCCCAGGUGCCGAGCUCUGGACCGGGAUUAAGAAGGGACCCCCACGCAAACUCAAAUUCCCCGAACCUCAAGAAGUGGUGGAAGAGUUGAAGAAGUACCUUUCGUAGGCGAUUUGGGCAGAAGUCCUCAUGCUGAGGUUUGAAAUGGAGAGGGAAUUAAUCUUGGGUAGCUUCUUGCAAAGGAGCCCAUACUGUUAUAAUUUAUUCCACACAGGAUCUAAAAGAGUGGUUUCCUACAGGGUGUGCCUUUUGCAAACCGUUUUCAUUUUCAUUUGAGUCCCUUUAUGCCAUAUUAUAGAACACUAAUGGUAACAUUAAUGAUUCUUUAUAGAAGCGUAAUUUGUAUACUUCCGGUUGAUUGUGGCCCUGGGGGUAUGAUCCAGUGUUGCUUUUGUUUGAAAAUUUAUUUCCUCAUUCCUGGUGGCUAUUUUAAUUCUUUGAACCAGUUUUAAAUCUUACUGCUUCCCAGAGUUAAAAUUUUUAACAUGUUUUUAUGUGGGUUAAUGAUUUUCCAUCUUUACUGGCACAUUACUGUACCUGCCCCUACACUUUUCUAGGGUUAUUUUGCCCCCCCCCCCCCCCAUGUCUUAUGUAUUAAACACUGCAUUACAACACUGUGCGUCUCGGUUAGGUGGAUUUUUGUCUGUCCAUAAUGUUUCAUUUAAUGCUUUGGCAUCUUGUCAGGCACUUGUAUGUUGAAUGAGUUUUGGGGGAAGGAUACAAUCCUUGAGCUCCUGGGUGGUGGUGGUGUGGGAAGGGAUGGCAUGCCUGUAAUUCCAGGGACUUUAGCAGGCCGAAGCAGGAGGAUUACAAGUUUAAGACCAGUCUCAGCAAGUCCUUAUCUCAAAAAAUAAAGGGCUGGGGAUGUUGUCAGUGGUAAAGCCUCCCAGGGUUUAAUCCCCAGUACCAAAAUUUAAUAAAGUGAUGGAGGGAGAUGUCUUCCUUAGUCUUUGGUUGCCUGGAUCUCUUCUCUAACAUUUCCCUUCUCGUUAUUGCAGCUGUCUCUGGUGGUGUUGGAGCAUUUAUGAUGGGACAUGGCUAAACUUCAGUCAUGUACCUGAAGCCAUUUCUUCCACUCCAGAAAUGAUACAGAUGAGGCAACCCUCUAGUAAGGCAUUGUAAAAAUAUUUGAAUUUGGUUUGUUUAAUAAAAGGUUAAAUAAAGUAUCUAAGAGUAAAAUUUAAUGUUGAUGGACAAAGCCAGCUGUGGGAUUG